CGGAAACUUGAGAGCGGCGCACGGGUGCGUAACACGUGUGCAACCUACCUUUAUCUGGGGGAUAGCCUUUCGAAAGGAAGAUUAAUACCCCAUAAUAUAAUGAUUGGCAUCAAUUAUUAUUGAAAACUCCGGUGGAUAGAGAUGGGCACGCGCAAGAUUAGAUAGUUGGUGAGGUAACGGCUCACCAAGUCAAUGAUCUUUAGGGGUCCUGAGAGGGAGAUCCCCCACACUGGUACUGAGACACGGACCAGACUCCUACGGGAGGCAGCAGUGAGGAAUAUUGGACAAUGGGUGAGAGCCUGAUCCAGCCAUCCCGCGUGAAGGAAGACGGUCCUAUGGAUUGUAAACUUCUUUUGUACAGGGAUAAACCUACCCUCGUGAGGGUAGCUGAAGGUACUGUACGAAUAAGCACCGGCUAACUCCGUGCCAGCAGCCGCGGUAAUACGGAGGGUGCAAGCGUUAUCCGGAUUUAUUGGGUUUAAAGGGUCCGUAGGCGGACUUGUAAGUCAGUGGUGAAAUCUCAUAGCUUAACUAUGAAACUGCCAUUGAUACUGCAGGUCUUGAGUAAAUUUGAAGUGGCUGGAAUAAGUAGUGUAGCGGUGAAAUGCAUAGAUAUUACUUAGAACACCAAUUGCGAAGGCAGGUCACUAAGAUUUAACUGACGCUGAUGGACGAAAGCGUGGGUAGCGAACAGGAUUAGAUACCCUGGUAGUCCACGCCGUAAACGAUGCUAACUCGUUUUUGGAUUUUCGGAUUCAGAGACCAAGCGAAAGUGAUAAGUUAGCCACCUGGGGAGUACGUCCGCAAGGAUGAAACUCAAAGGAAUUGACGGGGGCCCGCACAAGCGGUGGAUUAUGUGGUUUAAUUCGAUGAUACGCGAGGAACCUUACCAAGACUUAAAUGGGAAUUGACAGGUUUAGAAAUAGACCCUCCUUCGGGCAAUUUCCA
rnacentral:rRNA from 1 species